rnacentral:rRNA from 1 species
CAUGUAGGCGGCUUAAUAAGUCGAGCGUGAAAAUGCGGGGCUCAACCCCGUAUGGCGCUGGAAACUGUUAGGCUUGAGUGCAGGAGAGGAAAGGGGAAUUCCCAGUGUAGCGGUGAAAUGCGUAGAUAUUGGGAGGAACACCAGUGGCGAAGGCGCCUCUCUGGACUGUGUCUGACGCUGAGAUGCGAAAGCCAGGGUAGCGAACG